UCAUUAAAUCAGUUAUCGUUUAUUUGAUAGUACCUUACUACUUGGAUAACCGUGGUAAUUCUAGAGCUAAUACAUGCUAAAAACCUCGACUUCGGAAGGGGUGUAUUUAUUAGAUAAAAAACCAAUGCCCUUCGGGGCUUCUUGGUGAUUCAUAAUAACUUAACGAAUCGCAUGGCCUUGUGCCGGCGAUGGUUCAUUCAAAUUUCUGCCCUAUCAACUUUCGAUUGUAAGGUAUUGGCUUACAAUGGUUUCAACGGGUAACGGGGAAUUAGGGUUCUAUUCCGGAGAGGGAGCCUGAGAAACGGCUACCACAUCCAAGGAAGGCAGCAGGCGCGCAAAUUACCCAAUCCCGACACGGGGAGGUAGUGACAAUAAAUACUGAUACAGGGCUCUUUUGGGUCUUGUAAUUGGAAUGAGUACAAUUUAAAUCCCUUAACGAGGAACAAUUGGAGGGCAAGUCUGGUGCCAGCAGCCGCGGUAAUUCCAGCUCCAAUAGCGUAUAUUAAAGUUGUUGCAGUUAAAAAGCUCGUAGUUGAACCUUGGGCCUGGCUGGCCGGUCCGCCUCACCGCGUGCACUGGUCCGGCCGGGCCUUUCCUUCUGGGGAGCCGCAUGCCCUUCACUGGGUGUGUCGGGGAACCAGGACUUUUACUUUGAAAAAAUUAGAGUGUUCAAAGCAGGCCUAUGCUCGAAUACAUUAGCAUGGAAUAAUAGAAUAGGACGUUGUGGUUCUAUUUUGUUGGUUUCUAGGACCGCCGUAAUGAUUAAUAGGGAUAGUCGGGGGCAUCAGUAUUCAAUUGUCAGAGGUGAAAUUCUUGGAUUUAUUGAAGACUAACUACUGCGAAAGCAUUUGCCAAGGAUGUUUUCAUUAAUCAGUGAACGAAAGUUAGGGGAUCGAAGACGAUCAGAUACCGUCGUAGUCUUAACCAUAAACUAUGCCGACUAGGGAUCGGGCGAUGUUAUCUUUUUGACUCGCUCGGCACCUUACGAGAAAUCAAAGUCUUUGG
rnacentral:rRNA from 1 species